ACCAUGUCUCAGCCUUUUGGCUAAGAUCGAGUGUGCGUAUUCUUACCACUUUAACAUCCAAUACAUCUCUCUCUGAGAACAAUGUAUUACAUGGAUUUUUGGAGCAGGGGGAUAGAACAGGAACUUGCCCCAUCCAUGCCUGCAUUAACCUGGUAUUAUGUUAUCUCUGGGAAUGGUGUGCCACCU